CUGUCACCGUUUCCACGGCUGGAACCGUGGACAUCUUCACGCUUCCCCCGCAGCGCGGAGCUCAGAGCCCGGACGGCGCCGUCUUGCUGGUUGCGUUGAUGCGAGCAGAUACCUAGGCGCUCGGUGGGUCGCUGGUUGAUGUCAGAUGUUGCACUGCAUUGGCUGUUUUCCUCCUUGCGGAACUAGUGAAAUGCAAUCGGUGUUUCAUCCGAGAAACAUUUGCGUGUCGGAGCAGGACGGCGCCAUCCAGUGUUAGGCUUGCCACCUCUGAUCCAGUGAGGGGGAAACCUCAGUCUUACAACAUACAGCUCCCUCAUGUUUCAUAAUGAUCCCACA